rnacentral:rRNA from 1 species
AGUGAACGCUGGCGGUAGGCCCAACACAUGCAAGUCGAACGGCAGCACAGUAAGAGCUUGCUCUUACGGGUGGCGAGUGGCGGACGGGUGAGGAAUACAUCGGAAUCUACUUUUUCGUGGGGGAUAACGUAGGGAAACUUACGCUAAUACCGCAUACGACCUACGGGUGAAAGCAGGGGAUCUUCGGACCUUGCGCGAUUGAAUGAGCCGAUGUGGGAUUUGCUAGUUGGCGGGGUAAAGGCCCACCAAGGCGACGAUCCGUAGCUGGUCUGAGAGGCUGGUCGGCCACACUGGAACUGGAACGCGGUCCAGGGUCCUACGGGAGGCAGCAGUGGGGAAUAUUGGGCAACGGGCGCAAGCCUGAUCCAGCCAUACGGAGUGGGUGAAGAAGGCCUUCGGGUUGUAAAGCCCUUUUGUUGGGAAAGAAAAGCAGCAGGUUAAUACCCCGCUGUUCUGACGGUACCCAAUGAAUAAGCACCGGCUAACUUCGUG